GACGUCGAUAUUUGACGUCAUAAACACGAUCAACUUUGGUGUUUAUGACGUCGAUAUUCGACGUCAUAAACACGAUCAACUUUGGUGUUUAUGACGUCGAUAUUCGACGUCAUAAACACGAUCAACUUUGGUGUUUAUGACGUCGAUAUUCGACGUC
rnacentral:miRNA from 1 species